ACGGGUGAGUAACGCGUAGGAAUGUGUCCAGAGGUGGGGGACAACCCCGGGAAACUGGGGCUAAUACCGCAUAUGUCCUGAGGGACAAAGCAGUAAUGCGCCUUUGGAGCAGCCUGCGUCCGAUUAGGUAGUUGGUGGGGUAAUGGCCUACCAAGCCUGCGAUCGGUAGCUGGUCUGAGAGGAUGAUCAGCCACACUGGGACUGAGACACGGCCCAGACUCCUACGGGAGGCAGCAGUGGGGAAUAUUGGACAAUGGGCGCAAGCCUGAUCCAGCAAUGCCGCGUGGGUGAAGAAGGUCUUCGGAUCGUAAAGCCCUUUCGACAGGGACGAUGAUGACGGUACCUGUAGAAGAAGCCCCGGCUAACUUCGUGCCAGCAGCCGCGGUAAUACGAAGGGGGCUAGCGUUACUCGGAAUUACUGGGCGUAAAGGGCGCGUAGGCGGCUCUGUUAGUCAGGCGUGAAAUUCCUGGGCUUAACCUGGGGACUGCGCUUGAUACUGCAGGGCUUGAGGCCGAGAGAGGGUGGUGGAAUUCCCAGUGUAGAGGUGAAAUUCGUAGA
rnacentral:rRNA from 1 species